GAUGAACGCUAGCGGCAGGCCUAACACAUGCAAGUCGAGGGAGAAGCCCUUUCGGGGGCAGAAACCGGCGCACGGGUGCGUAACGCGUAUGCAACCUACCUUUCACAGGGGGGAUAGCCCGAAGAAAUUUGGAUUAAUACCCCCAUAAUAUUAUUGGAUGGCAUCAUUUGAUAAUUAAAAACUGCGGUGGUGAAAGAUGGGCAUGCGUCCUAUUAGCUAGUUGGAGUGGUAACGGCACCCCAAGGCUACGAUAGGUAGGGGUCCUGAGAGGGAGAUCCCCCACACUGGUACUGAGACAGGGACCAGACUCCUACGGGAGGCAGCAGUGAGGAAUAUUGGUCAAUGGUCGGAAGACUGAACCAGCCAUGCCGCGUGCAGGAAGAAUGCCUUAUGGGUUGUAAACUGCUUUUAUAUGGGAAGAAUAAGGUGUACGUGUACAUUGAUGACGGUACCAUAUGAAUAAGCAUCGGCUAACUCCGUG
rnacentral:rRNA from 1 species